GACGCAUGCAGGUGGUUUGUUAAGUCAGAUGUGAAAGCCCGGGGCUCAACCUCGGAAUUGCAUUUGAAACUGGCAGACUAGAGUACUGUAGAGGGGGGUAGGAAUUUCAGGUGUAGCGGUGAAAUGCGUAGAGAUCUGAAGGAAUACCGGUGGCGAAGGCGGCCCCCUGGACAGAUACUGACACUCAGAUGCGAAAGCGUGGGGAGCAAACAGGAUUAGAUACCCUGGUAG
rnacentral:rRNA from 1 species